rnacentral:rRNA from 1 species
GAUGAACGCUGGCGGCGUGCCUAAUACAUGCAAGUCGAGCGGUAAGGCCCUUCGGGGUACACGAGCGGCGGACGGCUGAGUAACACGUAGGAACGUACCCCAAACUGAGGGAUAAGCACCAGAAAUGGUGUCUAAUACCGCAUGUGGCCUUCGGGCUAAAGCUCCGGCGGUUUGGGAACGGCCUGCGUCCGAUUAGCUAGUUGGUAGUGUAAUGGACUACCAAGGCGACGAUCGGUAGCUGGUCUGAGAGGAUGAUCAGCCAGGCUGGGACUGAGACACGGCCCAGACUCCUACGGGAGGCAGCAGUAGGGAAUUUUCCACAAUGGGGGCAACCCUGAUGGAGCAACGCCGCGUGCAGGAUGAAGGCCUUCGGGUUGUAAACUGCUUUUAUCUGUGACGAUUAUGACGGUAGCAGAUGAAUAAGGACCUGCUAACUACGUGCCAGCCGCCGCAGUAA